rnacentral:rRNA from 1 species
AAAAAAGGUAAGCUACUAAGAGCGAAUGGUGGAUGCCUUGACUGGUAAAGGCGAUGAAGGACGUACUAGACUGCGAUAAGCUACGGGGAGCUGUCAAGAAGCUUUGAUCCGUAGAUUUCCGAAUGGGGCAACCCAAUGUAUAGAGAUAUACAUUACCUAUAUAGGAGCGAACGAGGGGAAUUGAAACAUCUUAGUACCCUCAGGAAAAGAAAUCAAUAGAGAUUGCGUCAGUAGCGGCGAGCGAAAGCGCAAGAGGGCAAACCCAGUGCUUGCACUGGGGGUUGUAGGACUGCAAUGUGCAAGAGGUAAGUUUAGCAGAACAUUCUGGAAAGUAUAACCAUAGAGGGUGAUAGUCCCGUAUGCGAAAAACAAACCUUAGCUAGCAGUAUCCUGAGUAGGGCGGGACACGAGGAAUCCUGUCUGAAUCCGGGUCGACCACGAUCCAACCCUAAAUACUAAUACCAGAUCGAUAGUGCACAAGUACCGUGAGGGAAAGGUGAAAAGAACUGAGGUGAUCAGAGUGAAAUAGAACCUGAAACCAUUUGCUUACAAUCAUUCAGAGCCCUAUGUAGCAAUACAGGGUGAUGGACUGCCUUUUGCAUAAUGAGCCUGCGAGUUGUGGUGUCUGGCAAGGUUAAGCAAACGCGAAGCCGUAGCGAAAGCGAGUCUGAAUAGGGCGCUUAGUCAGAUGCUGCAGACCCGAAACGAAGUGAUCUAUCCAUGAGCAAGUUGAAGCUAGUGUAAGAACUAGUGGAGGACUGAACCCAUAGGCGUUGAAAAGCCCCGGGAUGACUUGUGGAUAGGGGUGAAAGGCCAAUCAAACUUCGUGAUAGCUGGUUCUCUCCGAAAUAUAUUUAGGUAUAGCGUUGUGUCGUAAUAUAAGGGGGUAGAGCACUGAAUGGGCUAGGGCAUACACCAAUGUACCAAACCCUAUCAAACUCCGAAUACCUUAUAUGUAAUCACAGCAGUCAGGCGGCGAGUGAUAAAAUCCGUCGUCAAGAGGGAAACAACCCAGACUACCAGCUAAGGUCCCUAAAUCUUACUUAAGUGGAAAACGAUGUGAAGUUACUUAAACAACCAGGAGGUUGGCUUAGAAGCAGCCAUCCUUUAAAGAAAGCGUAAUAGCUCACUGGUCUAGUGAUUUUGCGCGGAAAAUAUAACGGGGCUAAAGUAAGUACCGAAGCUGUAGACUUGCACACAACUUAGAUUAUUUAAGUUUAGAAUAUGAGAAACUAAGUUAUAUGUUUAGUUAUAUUUUUACUGAUUUUUAUAGAGUAAAGAUAGAAAUAAAACUUAGUAAAAUCAGUAAAAAUAUUCUUAGACUAAAGUUAAGUAGUUUAAGUUGUGUGCAAGUGGUAGGAGAGCGUUCUAUUUGCGUCGAAGGUAUACCGGUAAGGAGUGCUGGAGCGAAUAGAAGUGAGCAUGCAGGCAUGAGUAGCGAUAAUUAAUGUGAGAAUCAUUAACGCCGUAAACCCAAGGUUUCCUACGCGAUGCUCGUCAUCGUAGGGUUAGUCGGGUCCUAAGUCGAGUCCGAAAGGGGUAGACGAUGGCAAAUUGGUUAAUAUUCCAAUACCAACAUUAGUGUGCGAUGGAAGGACGCUUAGGGCUAAGGGGGCUAGCGGAUGGAAGUGCUAGUCUAAGGUCGUAGGAGGUUGUACAGGCAAAUCCGUAUAACAAUACUCCGAGAACUGAAAGGCUUUUUGAAGUCUUCGGAUGGAUAGAAGAACCCCUGAUGCCGUCGAGCCAAGAAAAGUUUCUAAGUUUAGCUAAUGUUGCCCGUACCGUAAACCGACACAGGUGGGUGGGAUGAGUAUUCUAAGGCGCGUGGAAGAACUCUCUUUAAGGAACUCUGCAAAAUAGCACCGUAUCUUCGGUAUAAGGUGUGGUUCGCUUUGUAUUAGGAUUUACUCCGAAAGCAAAGAAACUUACAACAAAGAGUCCCUCCCGACUGUUUACCAAAAACACAGCACUCUGCUAACUCGUAAGAGGAUGUAUAGGGUGUGACGCCUGCCCGGUGCUCGAAGGUUAAUUGAUGGGGUUAGCAUUAGCGAAGCUCUUGAUCGAAGCCCGAGUAAACGGCGGCCGUAACUAUAACGGUCCUAAGGUAGCGAAAUUCCUUGUCGGUUAAAUACCGACCUGCAUGAAUGGCGUAACGAGAUGGGAGCUGUCUCAAAGAGGGAUCCAGUGAAAUUGUAGUGGAGGUGAAAAUUCCUCCUACCCGCGGCAAGACGGAAAGACCCCGUGGACCUUUACUACAGCUUGACACUGCUAUUUGGAUAAGAAUGUGCAGGAUAGGUGGGAGGCUUUGAGUUAUGGACGCCAGUUCAUAAUGAGCCAUUGUUGAGAUACCACUCUUUCUUAUUUGGGUAGCUAACUAGCUUGAGUUAUCCUCAAGUAGGACAAUGUCUGGUGGGUAGUUUGACUGGGGCGGUCGCCUCCCAAAUAAUAACGGAGGCUUACAAAGGUUGGCUCAGAACGGUUGGAAAUCGUUCGUAGAGUAUAAAGGUAUAAGCCAGCUUAACUGCGAGACAUACAAGUCAAGCAGAGACGAAAGUCGGUCUUAGUGAUCCGGUGGUUCUGUGUGGAAGGGCCAUCGCUCAAAGGAUAAAAGGUACCCCGGGGAUAACAGGCUGAUCUCCCCCAAGAGCUCACAUCGACGGGGAGGUUUGGCACCUCGAUGUCGGCUCAUCGCAUCCUGGGGCUGGAGCAGGUCCCAAGGGUAUGGCUGUUCGCCAUUUAAAGCGGUACGCGAGCUGGGUUCAGAACGUCGUGAGACAGUUCGGUCCCUAUCUGCCGUGGGCGUAAGAAGAUUGAAGAGAUUUGACCCUAGUACGAGAGGACCGGGUUGAACAAACCACUGGUGUAGCUGUUGUUCUGCCAAGAGCAUCGCAGCGUAGCUAAGUUUGGAAAGGAUAAACGCUGAAAGCAUCUAAGCGUGAAGCCAACUCUAAGAUGAAUCUUCUCUAAGCUCUCUAGAAGACUACUAGUUUGAUAGGCUGGGUGUGUAAUGGAUGAAAGUCCUUUAGCUGACCAGUACUAAUAGAGCGUUUGGCUUAUCUUUAAUAAAGCAU